rnacentral:rRNA from 1 species
GGAGGAUCCGAGCGUUAUCCGGAUUUACUGGGUGUAAAGGGAGCGCAGGCGGUGCGGCAAGUCUGAUGUGAAAGCCCGGGGCUCAACCCCGGUACUGCAUUGGAAACUGUCGUACUAGAGUGUCGGAGGGGUAAGCGGAAUUCCUAGUGUAGCGGUGAAAUGCGUAGAUAUUAGGAGGAACACCAGUGGCGNAGGCGGCUUACUGGACGAUGACUGACGCUGAGGCUCGAAAGCGUCGGGAGCAAACAGGAUUAGAUACCCUGGUAGUCCACGCCGUANACGAUGAAUACUNGGUGUCGGGGAGCACAGCUCUUCGGUGCCGCCGCANACGCAUUAAGCAUUCCGCCUGGGGAGU